rnacentral:lncRNA from 1 species
CGCGGCGCAGGAAGGGCCCGCGCCCCGCGCCUACCGCGUGCUCGGGUCUGGGGUUCGGCGCUGCGCCCGCGCUCCCGGGCCUGGACGCGCUCCCGCGGGGCCAGCACUCCUGGGUGACACAGAAUCACGGGAUCCGGUGAAAACCACAGACGACAACUGCAGGCAGCCCAGUCAUGCCUGCGGAAGCACCAGCCCAGCUUUUCUCCUGAUACCAUCUACACUGUUGCUGCCAUCCGUUCUAGAACGCUGCCACUCUUCCCUGUGUAAGUUAAGCAGAAGAAAAGGAGGGGGGACUGUCUCCAAUCUCCCCAAGCCCACCCCCCCAUCAGUCGUUCCCCCAAGUGCAGUUAAGCUGUGGCCUUGAAUUUACAUUUGUC